UACGAAGGGGGCUAGCGUUGUUCGGAAUUACUGGGCGUAAAGCGCACGUAGGCGGAUAUUUAAGUCAGGGGUGAAAUCCCAGAGCUCAACUCUGGAACUGCCUUUGAUACUGGGUAUCUUGAGUAUGGAAGAGGUAAGUGGAAUUCCGAGUGUAGAGGUGAAAUUCGUAGAUAUUCGGAGGAACACCAGUGGCGAAGGCGGCUUACUGGUCCAUUACUGACGCUGAGGUGCGGAAAAGCGUGGGGAGCAAACAGGG
rnacentral:rRNA from 1 species